UGCAGCCUAAAUCCUCUUUCCACGAGGCCCGAGGUCCCAGGAGGACCAAUGGAAGACAGUCGUGCCAUUUGGAUGAAUUGCCAUAGGCCAUGAUGGCCGCCUUCAGGUGACGGUGGAAGCGCUCGACUAUACCGUUGGCACAUGGGUGAUAUGCAGUCGUGCGACAACGGUUGGUACCGAGGAGCUGCGUCAGUGAUGUGAAGAGGCGAGAUUCGAAUUGCCUGCCUCUAUCGGUGGUGAUCUGAGAAGGGACACCGAACCUUGCGACCCAGGUGGAAACAAAAGUGCGGGCGACCGUGGCGGCGGUGGCGUCUGGCAUGGGUACAGCCUCAGGCCAUCUGGUGUAUCGGUCGAUGCAAGUUAGCAGAUAUCGGUGAUUGUUUGAGGGCGGCAGGGGGCCGACAAUGUCGAUGUGAAUCUGUGUGAACCGGGCGCUCGGCAAGGGAAACUGGGAGAGCGGAGAAAUGGUGUGGCGGUGGACUUUUGCACGUUGACAGGAGAGGCAAGAUCGGGUCCAGUUACGAAUGUCAGUAUUCAUGGAAGGCCAGAAGUAACGAGCCGUAAUCAAACGCUGAGUUGCCCUGACUCCUGGAUGAGCGAGUUGAUGAAGCGCGGCGAAGAGGGGUCGCCGGAAGGCCUUCGGAACGAAGGGUCGCUCCGAGCCUGUGGAUGUGUCACAGUAAACAGGUGUGUCUAUUCCCGGAAAACAGAUGUCACGAAUGGCCCGGAAGGAAUGGCUGGAUAGUAGGUGUUGCAGCUCGGAAUCAGAUUGUUGAUGAUGAGCAACGUCAGCGAGGUUAAUGGGGGUGUGUUCCAAAGCCGAUAUGCGACUUAACGUGUCAGCUGGAACAUUGUCGCUGCCUUUUAUGUGCUUGAUCUCAGCAUUGAAUUCCGCUAGGUACGCCAGAUGCCGUACUUCCCUGGAGGAACGCCGAGAGCUGCCUGAACGAUAGGCGAAAACCAAGGGUUUGUGAUCUGUGAAGAUGGUGAAUGACCUGUCCUCGAGGUAGUAUCGAAAAUGCUUGACGGCCGUGAAGGCAGCGAGGAGCUCACGUCCAAACGUGCUGUAGCGCUCUUCUGUGGGGGAGAACUUUUUCGAGAAGAACGCGACAGGUUGCCACUGGCCCUCAACGCGUUGCUGCAAGACUGCGCCGAUGGCGUGGUUAGAGGCGUCCACCAUUAUAGACGUAGGUGCGUCCAUGACGGGAUGGAUCAAGGUCGUUGCCGACGCCAGUGCUUGUCUGGCUUCCUGAAAGGCUUGUAAGGUAUCGGAGGACCAGGAAAGCGUCGUGGCUCCCGACCUGGUCUGCCUCAGGAGCGCCUCAAGAGGUCGUAGUAUUAGCGCGCAGCGUGGAAUAAAACGCCUAUAAAAAUUGAUCAUUCCCAAGAAACGGCGGAGCUGGGUGAUGGACGACGGCAGAGGAAAGUUCUGGAUUUUCUCGACUUUGUUGGUAAGAGGGGAAAUUCCUCGAGCGUCUACUCUGUGUCCUAAGAACUCCAAGGCAGGAACUCCGAACUCGCAUUUGUCGGCAUUGAUCAGCAGCCCAUGGUCGGCCAGGCGUCCAAAUAAAGUUUGUAAAUGUUGAAGGUGUUCUUCGGGUGAAGCACUGGCCACUAGCAAGUCGUCGAGGUAGGCGAAUACGAAAGGUAGCCCGCGAGUGAUGUUGUCAAUGAACCGCUGAAAAGAUUGGGCAGCAUUCCGGAGGCCGGACGGCAUUCGGACAAACUCGAAGAGGCCGAAAGGGGUGACUAUUGCGGUUGUGGGAAUGUCUUCCUCGGCCAUUGGUAUCUGAUGGUAGGCUUUCAUUAAAUCGAUCUUCGAAAACAUCGUUGCACCGGAAAGACCCGUGGUGAAAUCAGAGCUGUUGGGCAAGGGGUAGCGGUCGGGAACAGUAGCCAAAUUUAGCGCGCGAUAGUCACCACAGGGCCGCCAGUCACCGGUCUUUUUGGGAACCAUGUGAAGGGGCGAAGACCAGCUACUAGAUGAUGGACGAAUGAUGCCGACAGCGAGCAUGUGGUCGAACUCUUGUCGCGCAAUAGCAAGUUUUUCGGGGCUUAGGCGACGUGCUUUUGCGAAUACUGGUUGGCCACUUGUUACGAUGUGGUGGGCGACGGGGUGCUUGACGGGCUUCGUCCAGUCACACGGGGCCGUCAAGGAUGGAAACUGUCGUAAAAGAUCGGCAAAAACAUUGUUCUGCGGAAGAGUGAUCGCGAGGCCGACAGAUGUAGCGCGCGUGCUUACGCCGUUGACCGUGACGCCAGUAAGGUGGUCCACCAGCCUUUGCCCAGCGACAUCAACCAAGAUUUUGUUGCGCCCUAGGAAAUCGCUGCCUAGGAUACAGUGCCGAGUGUCAGCAACGAGAAACACCCAGUGAAAUGUCCUGCGUAAUCCGAAGUCGAGAGACAAUGAACGACGGUAUUAAACAGGAAUUCUGGAGCCGUUUACUGCUGUGAGAUACAUGAUGGGCGUUCUGCUUCUGUCAGAUGGUGAGGCCGGGAGGACGCUGACCUCCGCUCCGGUGUCGACAAGGAAAUUGUGCUUGCCGCACCGAUUCUUGAUGAAGAAAAGGCGACCUUGCCGUAUGUGGUGGGGGCUUCCGGUCGCCGCUGGUAACCCCCGGCGUAGUUUCCCUGCCAUGCACACGGGGAUUCGCAUCGCCGAGCUGUGCGACCGAAACGGCUGUGGAACCAACAAAGGUGGCGUCGGCGCGUUGGCGGCGAAGUGGGAGGAGUCGGGGAACGUGCGGCACGGCGACGUUGAGUAGAACGGUCUGGACCUGAGGAAGUGCGGUCGCGGGGUCCGGAUCGCUCGAGUAUGUCUGCGAUGCGGCGGACUUCUUCCCGCAGCGAGGCCAGGUCAGAGCUUUCCGCUGCCGACACAGAGGAUGCGCCUUCAAGCGCUGCCAGCGCAGACGGGUUGUACGAGUCGGAGAACAGCUCCAUUGCCUUAUCCGCUCUGGUAGCUAAUGACACAAUGUCGGUCUCUUCCGUAACCGACAGAGCCAGCUGGACGGCAUGAGGAAGUUUUGAGAGGAAGAGCUCACGAAAGAGCUUGUCGUCAAAAGGAGCGGUUCCAAGGAUUUGUUGCAUGUAUCUGACGAGCUGUGAAGGUUUGCGGUCCCCCAAGGGCACCUUUGAGAAGAGCUCGUGCAGCCGCUGACGAUCGGACGGAAGAACCCUGCUGGUGACAGCACGCUUAAGGGCGUCGUAGGGAUCUUGUAAUGGAGGCGAGCUGAUGAUGUCGCUGACCUCGAGUAGCACGUCCUCGGAAAGGACAGACAAGAUGUGAUGGUACCUAGUCGAUUGGGUAGUGAUGCCGCCUAAAGGGAAUUGCGAUUCCGCCUGUUGAAACCAUAAGUCGGGGCGGGACCGAAUAAAUGGUGGCAGGCGGAUAGCGAAAUGCCCAACGCGGGCCACGGUAGGUGAACCUUACAUGUUGCCGUUCGAAUCGUUCGGGUCACCACUUUAGAGACAGAGAGCCUGUCCGGUUUGGUGAAGCAUCAGCGAGGAACUGAGCUCAUGCUUUAUUGCUCGAGCGGACAGCAUCAGCUGUCCUCGUCUUCGCCACAGGUGAAGUGGAAGACCGAGCGGAAUCCGCUCGGGGGGAGGAUAGCUGCGUCCAUGGGCCGACUUCAGGGGAACUGUGCCGGCAUACGCCUAUUACACAUCUGAGGGAAACCCAGGAAAAACCCCAGACGGCACAGCCGGCCCACGGAUUCGACCGCGGACCUCCCAGUCUCCAAGCGCACGCGUUACCGCUGCGCCACCGGAGCUGGUCCACAACAGAAAUGUUGAGAGAUUUACGUGCUUUCUGGGGCCACGACUGCUCAAAUUGAGUGACUGUCCAGGCACACUCUAAUUACAUGUUGCAAUUGAAUGCAUAGUUACUUGUUCCUUUUCAACUUUCCAGAAACCUUAAGCUGCUUGGGCUCAAAGGAAAAUGUCGAUCCAUCGUGUGCUAUUAAGAACAUCUCACAUACUUUGUUGAAUGAUUCAAGAUUACCACAAGUUAUUUGGAUCUGUCAUUGCUGGGAACAGCAAUCCUGCAAAGUGGCACUGGUUGCCUACCAGCUAGCCUCUGUGCGAGCAGGCCACUUCACCGUUACUUGAAGCUGCUGCCGACUAAAACAAACUGAGCAAGCUCCGUGCGCAUACGCCCACUGAUGUAGCCUGGAGGUAAAUUAUCUUGCUGAUGUGUUAGAUUUACUUCUUUGCAUACUUCAGUGCUCC